GAGAAAGGUCUUACCACCCUGAACACACCUGAUCUCGUCUGAAGCAGGGUCGGGCCUGGUGAGCACUUGGAUGGGAGACAAUAUUUGAAAAGAGACUGCUCA
rnacentral:rRNA from 1 species